UACAGAGGUCUCAAGCGUUGUUCGGAUUCAUUGGGCGUAAAGGGUGCGUAGGUGGCAUGGUAAGUCGGAUGUGAAAUCCCGGGGCUCAACCCCGGAACUGCAUUCGAUACUGCUGAGCUAGAGUACUGGAGAGGAGAUUGGAAUUUACGGUGUAGCAGUGAAAUGCGUAGAUAUCGUAAGGAAGACCAGUGGCGAAGGCGGAUCUCUGGACAGUUACUGACACUGAGGCACGAAGGCCAGGGGAGCAAACAGG
rnacentral:rRNA from 1 species